rnacentral:sRNA from 1 species
GCUGGGCAUGGUGGUGCACGCCCGUAAUCCUAGCAGCUUUGGAGGCUGAGUCAGGAGGAUCUUGAGUUCAAAGCCAGCCUCAGCAAAAGCAAGAUACUAGCAACUCAGUGAAACCCUGUCUCUA